AAUUUGUUUUGUCUUUCUUCUCGAAAAAUCUCUCUGAUACAAUUUAAGAGACCCCACCUUUCAUAUAUAACACCUACAUAUAUACAUCCAUGUUUUAGUUCGAGACCUCAAAAAUUCCUUCUCUUCUCUCUCUCUCUCUCUAUAUAUAAAUAUAUUUAUAAAUACAAUACAUAUUUUUAUGUGUAUAUAUAUACAUAUAUGUACAGAUACACACACGUUAUUUAUAAAUAAUAUUUGAGGAGAAAAUUGAGAUGGGAUUUGUUAUCAGGAACAUCGUUGUGGCUACUACAAGGAGGCUGCCUUCAGAUUCUGGUGCCUUUGCAGACUGGGUGGCUUCUCUGAAGUCAAUCGGUCAAACUUCAUGUUGGUUGGGUUCAUGAACAAGAUGAAUAAGAAAAAAAAAUAUAUAAAAUUAAAAAUAAAAUAAAAUAAAAUAAAAUUAUAAUUUUAAAAUAUAUUUUUUAGUUUUUUAUUUUAUUUUAAAUUUUUUUAAUUAAAAUUAUUAUUUGGACCAAUAAAAAAUUGACACGUGGCACUUUAUUUGGGUUUAACGGAUCCGUUAGAAAAAGGACCAACGGACAAACAAAAAUUGGGACCUUAGGUAUUUUCACCGCCAAUUUUUGAGGUUGAGGACUAAUCGGCAUCAAACUUAAAUUUUUGGGGACUUUUGCCGCAAUUAUCCCUAUUUUUAUUGAUUUAUAGUUGUUUUUAUAUGUUUUGUUAAGUUGUUCUAGGGUUAUUUUUUAGUUGUUUUGAGUUAUUUUUUUUAUUUUACUAAAACACAAUAUUAUUUGUAAUUUUGAAACUUUAAACACAAUAUUUUUGUAAAAUUGGUAUAGUAAAAAUAUAAAAAAAAAAAUCCGUGUCAUAGUGUAUUUGUAAAUUUUUUUAUAUUUUAUAAUAUUUUGUAAGUUUCCCAAAAUACCAAAAAAAAAAAAAUUAAUUCUAUCUAAAUCUCAUGUAAUGAAUUUUUAAAAGAAAAAAUAGACUCGCAACAAAAUAUUUGACAACUGAAUUUUCAAAAUUUUGAUAAGCUACAAUCAAUUGAAGAGAACAUAAAUUUUAAUUAAUAUAUUAUUGUCCCAAAUUAAAAUAAUAAUAACAUAAAUAUUAUUAAAUUAUUAUAACAUUUAAUAAAUUUUAGAUGUAUAUACACAACAAGUUAAUAAUCGGCGACCAACUUUUCAAUAAUUGAUGUUUGUACUAUUUACCCUCAUGUUUUGUUCAUUGAAUUUUAUUCCCUAGAGAUCGGAUGGUUUGAAAUCAAUUGUGGUACGUUCCUCACUUUUAAACUGAAGGACUACAUGAUGACCCAUUAAAUAAAGUGUAGUUGAUUGAAAAAAAAGUCUCUGACACACAAAUGUGUCUGUAAUACAUGGUUCUGCUCAACUUUUCAGAAGCUGAUGAUGGCCUUUUGCACCACACAAUUAAAACAUGCAUACAUUACAUUGACACACAUAUCUACCAAAAUUUGUGCAAUUAAUAUGUGGAACUAUGAAAGGAGAAGUUCCUUUCUUUCUCCUAUAAAUAUAGUGGGCAUUACAUCAAACAAGUGUGUAAACGAAUUACAAAAGAAAUAAUAUUCCCUAUAGCUAAACACAACUUAUACAUUUUCCUAUAAUCAUAUUCUCAUACUAAACGCCAAUUUUUAAUGGAGUAAAAAAAUUAAGAGCAAUUUCAGGGCAAAAAAUUAUAAAUAACCAUUGAGUUAUCAUAUACAAUUUAUUUUACAUUUAUAUUUAAAAAAAUUUAAAUAUACCACAGCAAAACCCGAGUUGUUUACUAGUUUUAUAAUAAAUUAGACAUGUGACUUACCAUUCGUCUUUUAUACUUAAAUAAUGUGAUUCUCUUUUUUUUUUAUUUUCACACAAAAAAGUAAUUAAAAUUUUCAAAUAUCUUUCUAACAUUGUAUGUGGGCCUAGAACAUUAUUGAAGGAAAUGCCAUAAAUUGGCAUUGAUGGUUGUUUCAGCCUAUGUGUACGUACAAAAUUUAAUGUUUAAUAAUCUUUUUUUUGUCCUUUUCAUUAUAGCUUCCAAUUAAUAUGCAUUUAGCUUCUCACAUGUGUGGGUCAAUUCAUUGAUAUGCAGAAAAGUACAUGUUUCAUCAUAUAAAAUUCAAUAUAUGAAAUUUUUAUAGGAAAAUUUGAAAUUUCAUGCUUAAUAAAUCUAAAAAAUUGGUCCCCUAAACUAAUACUAUGUAUCAUUUGUAAAAUGGGAUAACUUUUUCUAAAAUCUAAUUUUACCCCCCUUUACAUUACCCCUCUCCCCUCUCUCUUCUUCUCAAUCCCUUAUUCAUUCAAUAACUCCAACCGAACUCCACUCAUACAUUUUAUAUGCAUACUAAAAAUAUUUUCAUAAUAUUUUACAAAAAAAAAAAAGAUUUUCAUAAUAUUAUAUAUUAAAUUAUAUUUAAGACAAUAUCAUAAUAUAUCUGUUAAAAAAAAAUAAUAAUAAAUCCUACCAUAAUGACAUUAUGAUAGUAAUAAUAAUAAAUUAAUAACAUUAACUCCUAUCUUUAAAUAGCCCCAUAUACCAUUUUAAAAAUUAAUUAGAGUAGAUUACAAUAACUUUAUUUUCCUAAUAAAUAUAUAUUCUAAUUAUACUCAAAUCAAUUAAAGAAAAAGAUCAGCAUAAACCAAAUUGGAAAUAAAUCCUACCCUUAUGACCAUCGGACCCCCCAAAUCCCAUCGGACCAUAGCAUCGGACCAUCGGACCCCCAAAUCCCAUCGGACCAUCGGACCCGAGCAUCGGACCCAUUGGGCCCGAUUUCAAUUUGAAGAAACCAUGACCAUCGGACCCCUAUCGGUCCGAGCAUUGGACCCAUCGGGCCCGAUUUCUAUUUUGAACAAACCGAGACCAUCGGACCCGUAUCAUAAGUUUUCAGAUCAUCUUUCUAACAGAAAUUUCUCUCUUCAGAAAAACUGAGCCUUCCCCACUUUCUAUACCUGGCCGAAAUCCCUCUUCUCUUUUCUUCUUCAUCAAUUUCGACCCUAGUGAGAGAGUAAGUGCCCACACACAGCAAGCAGUAACUCAAUCAUAGAUUGGAAGACUGUGAAUGAUCAAACUUGAAGAAGAAGGACAUUCGGGCUCAGAUCUUGAUUAUACUCUGCUACAAAAAGAAUACAAGGGUUAGAGAUCUGAGUGGAAGGAGACAUUAAUUCCGCUGCAUCAAUGUAAGGUUUUCUUAACUUUAUAUGUGUUUAAUUUAUCGUUUUAGAAAGUUCACAUUUAGGGUGUUUAAAUAACAUACUUGUGAGUAGAUCUAAGAUCCUGGUAAAAUAAAUAUCCAACAUUAGCACCUAUGAGUCAUAGAGACUCAGCCAAAAAAGUGAUUAAACCAUAACAACAUAAACCUCAAUUAAUCAUAUCGUAACAAAAUGCACGCAAACAUAACACAUCGCACACUAACAUGCUUAUACAACUUCAUAAUAAUAAUCACACAAUCUCAGUACUUCAUAAAGUACCGUUACCACUCGAUAACCACGAGCUAUGUAUGUCAAUAUCGUUCCCCGAUACAGCAAACGAUAAGUAAGAAACCUAUCCGUAAUUUCAAGAGUAAUUACUCGUAACGGUAAUGACUGUUUCCAACCCUCGGUCAUAACCAAGGCAUAAUAAACACAUAACCAGGAUGCCGAUCAUAAUUGAGACUAUAAUAAACACAAUCACCAAUCACUUAAUCCGAAGUGAUGCAUAACACUUUUCUUACCUCAGUCCAGAAAUCAGGUGUGCGGACCGACCUGAGUGGAAACAAAGCUGGGCGAUCCUGAUCCAAUGUCACGAUAACAAAAACUCAAUAAAUGCCUUAAAUCAAAACUCCAAAACAAAAUCCUAAAUUUGAAACCAGACAUAACCCAACUUCCAACAAUCCCAAAAUAGGUAACACAGCACAUAAAUACCCUAAAAAAGGUACUGGAUACCACCCCAAGCCAAAACAAAACUCGAAGAAAAUCCAAAAUUUCCCCCUGCAGGGCAACCGGUCGACCAGUUCUGGCAUACCCAAAAAUUCGAGUUUUCUUCCCAAAAUUCAAACCAAACCCCCUCCAAACCUGUCCAACAGCUCCAGAAUAGAUGAAUAACAUAUACACAAUAUUUACAAAGCACCAUAUCACUUCAGUUCAUCAAAUUAAAGAUCAAUAGCAUAAUUACAUAGAAAUUGCCUCAUAUCAAACCUUCAAUUCUCUAACCUAACACCAGCAGUCCUAUUUCUACCCAAACCUAACUUAAACAAGCUUUAAUCUGAACCUAAAAACAAAUGUUAAUCUCAAUUAUUCUUUAAUUGUAAAAGUCUUGAAACCCUAACCUAAAACCUAAUCUAAGUCUAAGAAAUCCAAAGGAAAAGCACCAAGAACUUACCUCUUGUGUAAACACUCUUACUCUUGAUAAAUUCCAGCUGAAAAUGGAAGAAAAACUCCUUGGUUGUGGCUGGCCCUUAAGGUUUCGAAUGGUAGAAGAGGGAGGGGAAGAAUUUUCUAUGUUUUGGCUUUAUCCCUUAAUUACAUAAGAUAAUUGAUAACCUAAAUUUUUAUAUAUUAAUAUUAACUUAAUAAUCAGCCUAUUCACUAGAAGGGUACAUAGAAAUAAAAUAGGGUAAAAUGACUAUUUUACCCUUCCCCAUAAAAAUGAAGCUAUAGAAUAACCUAGGGGCAUUUUGGUAAUUCUAACUAAUCCGCAAAACCGACAACCCAACACUUUAAACUAGUCCAGAAUAAAAAUCUAAUUUAUAUUUUAUUAUCGUGACAUAUUUGACUACUCCGUCAAAUUCCCACGAUCGCCGCCUUGAAAACAUUUAUUCUAGAAAUGGUAUCCACGAUACCCAUAUAUUUCAAUUGUUAUAGAUCAAGACCUACCGGUACAGUGUGGAGUAAAUGUUACACGCUUAUCCUAAUUAGGGGGUAUUUCAGAACGAUUGUAGAGUCUGAUCAGGUAGCAAGAACUAGCUACUCAGUGGAUUGCUCAAAUAACUGUAAUUCUCUAUGAUGAUAUGCUUUAAAACUUACUCGAUCUUUAUAGAUCAAGACCUACCGACACAAUGUGGAGUAAAUCUUACAUGCUUAUCCUAAGUAGGGGGUAUUUCAUCCACGUUAGACUUUGUUUAGUAAAAUUAGACAAAAAUUUUUAACUCUAAUAAUCUCGUUAGUUCUGAGCAUGAUUUGGUACGUAAUUCAGUGGUCAAAAAUCUAAAUUAGCCUAUUGAAUAUUUAUGAGGAAUUAUAUGAAAAAAACAUUAAAAUAAUUAAAAAGUAUAGACAUUUAUACAAUUUAAUAAACAUAAACAUGACAAGCUUAUAUUAUUUUUAAUAAAUAAAAAUGAAAAAAAAUCAUAUUUUCCAUCAUUAUUCUCUAAAAUAUAUAUACAAGUGAAAUUAACCUAUCAUAAAAAUCUUAUUUAAUAUGAUGCAACUAUUGAUGUGCUAAAAAAUAAUUUUUAUAUGGUAAAGAUAAUUUAAGCCGCUAACUCUUUGAAUUUAGUCACUUAAUUUUGUUAAAAAAUAAAUAAAAAAAAAAGUUAACAGUUAAAAUAUUACUUUAGUAAUUUAUUAAUUAGUUAAAUUUCUUUUGCCACGUGAAAACUCAAAAGUUCAAACACUUAUUUAUAGCCUAGUGUAAUGGGAGUUACAAAACUUCAUAUAUUUAUUAUUUAUUUUUUAAAUAAUAAUAAUAAUAAUGACCAUUGGAUGAUUAUUAAUCAUUUAAUCCAAUAGUCAAGAAAUAUAUAAUUAUUAUUUUUUUCAAUUUUAUUUAAUUUUAUUUUUUGCUAUAUAAUUUCUCAUAACUAUCAUUUCUGUUUCUCUCUUUCUUUCUCUCUUUAAAUUUGUAUACACUCUUUUCUCUCAAAAAUAUUUUUCAAGUUUUAAACUUUAACACAUAAAAAGAAAGAGUAAUUUGCGGUAUAAAUACCUAGGUUUAACUCCCAGUUGUAAAUAAAUACAUAAGUUUAAUUUUUGGCGGUAAUAAUACCUAUGUUAUAAUUCUGAAAGUUUGUAUGUAUCUAGCUGUUAAGUGUCAAGUAAAUUACCAUUUGGCAAUUUCUUAUUAGUCAAAAUCAUUAUAUAUUUAUUUUUUCAAAAAAAAUUAAUUUAAAUAUACCAAUCAGAAAAUGACACGUGGAUAAUGAUUUAAUAUUUAAUGGUCAGGUACUUACAGAGUUUCAAAAAUAUAACUUAGCUAUUAUUACCGCCAAAAAUUAAAUUUAGCUAUUUAUUUAUAACUGGGGGUUAAACUUAAGUAUUUAUGCCCAUAAAUUACUCAAAAAUAUAAACUUUGUAUUUUACCAUUGUAUGAACUCUGUCUCUGGUCUCAUUAAAUUCAAUCCAAAUUUACAAAAAAGCUAUUUUUUUUUAAGAAAAACAAAGCCAUUUAUUUUUUAAUAAAUCUGUAUAGUCAUUUCACCUACCCAACACAUGUAUUUUACCAUUGUAUGAACUCUGUCUCUGGUCUCAUUAAAUUCAAUCCAAAUUUACAAAAAAGCUAUUUUUUUUUUAAGAAAAACAAAGCCAUUUAUUUUUUAAUAAAUCUGUAUAGUCAUUUCACCUACCCAACACAUGUAUUAUCUGGUUUAGGAUAAUUUAAGUAUUACUUUACAACUUUGAUAAAAAAUAAUAUUCUAUUUAUGAAAGACCUUCAAUUUAAAUAUUAAAAUAAUCUAAUAGUUUUGUAUGAAUAUAUUUGCUUUUGUUUUACUCACAAGUGGAAGUCAUUCCCCCAAAAGUACAUGGGGAUGGAAUGGUUGGCCUUUUUUUUUAACUAAUGUAUAUAAAUUAUGUUAUAUAUAAAUGUAUAUAAUAAAAAUAUUAUAUAAAAAAUGAAUUGUUUAUGGGAUUUCAUUUCAAAAUCAAUUGGUAAUGAGUAGAGUAACCCGUGUUCUUGUAUAUGACUCAAUACUUUACCAUUUAUUCUACGUGGAACAAUUAUGUACACCCCUACUAGUGACUAUGCUAGAAUUUGGUGCCCAAAAUUUACUUGAAUUUGUAUAAGUCUUCUUGACAUUUUUCAGUAUUGGCCUAAUAGAGUGCCAUCCCUGAGCAAAAGUCACACAAAGCUGAUGAUCUAUCUGUAAGGGCCUUCUGCACCACACAAUUAAUACAUGCAUACAUUACAUUGACACACACGCAUCUACCAAAAUUUGUGCAAUUAAUAUGUGAAACUAUUAAAGGAAAAGUACCUUUUCUUUCUCCUAUAAAUACAGUGGCCAUUACAUCAAACAAGUGUGUAAAAAAAUUACAAAAAAAAAAUAUAUAUAUAUAUAUUAAAGUAUAGGAGAGUAAGAAAAGAAUGAUGAAGAAGUUUAUGGUAAUAGCGUUGGUAGUGGGUGUGAUGGUUGUGGGGUGCUUUGGUCGACUACAAUCGGAUGUUCAUCUGAAUUUGGUACCUAACAGGUGUAUGGUACCUGGUGAAUAUUGUCAUUGGGCACAACACAAGACAUGCUGUGAAGGACUGCAUUGUGAAGGUGAGAGGGGAUGGGGUGAGAAUCGGAAAUGUGUCCAUGUAACAAACUGUUUACAAGCUGGCUAUUCUUGUGCUGCUUUAUCACCUCCCUGUUGCUACCCGAUGCGUUGCACAUCUAUCCAGCGGGGGGGACUUUGUGCUACCCCUGGUUUGGAGCUAGAUGUUCAACAAAACGCCUCAUAAGAUAUAAUUAAUAUAAAGUGCCAUUAGCGCUGAGUCUCAACGAAGCAUGUAGUAGCUUGGUGUGGUGUGGUUUGUUUUAGUAAUUAUAGAAAGUGUCCUUGGCCCUUAGUCUCACAAAGCAUGUAGUAGCUUGGUGUGGUGUGGUUUGUUUCAGUAAUAAUGAAAAGUGCCAUUGGGCAUUUUUUGUUGUGUGUUUGGUUUAGCUUUGAGAUUAAUUAGCAUUCCCUGUGUAUGUAAGGCAUUUUCUUGUGACGGUUUGUUUUAUUUGUUUAUGAGUUCUUCUCUGGCUUUUCAUGAAAGGGUUUCUAUGAUCUGUGCUUGGGAUUUGGGAGUGACCAUAAUUUUAUGGAAGAAAACAAAAAACGAUGCAGCAAAAACAAAAACAGGAAAGCAUUUAUUUGCAAAUUAAACAAAUAAUUUAUUUACUGAAAUCUUAUUAUAUAUAUGUACAUACAAAUAUAAUACAAUAGACGGGGCUGGCUAAAGACCAGUAAAAAAAAAUUAGGAUGGACGUGUUUAUUUAAUAAAGACCAUUAGAUUUAAAUCAAUGGUAGAUAUUUUUUAAAAGUAAUAAAAUUUGAGUAUUAAUGUCUCUUCUGCUUAGCUAUACCGGUUACACCCGGUUCAUUUAUUUGUUUCUUUAAAAAUAAUCGAUCGACUUGCCAUGGAAGGGUCUCUUCCUCUUUCUCCGAAUCCGGCGAACAAAGGGCAUCUCCUUGUUCUUGCUCCGACACCGGCGAACAAAGGGCAUCUCUUUGCUCUUGCUCCGACUCCGGCUGACUAAGGGCAUCUCCUUGCUCUUUCUCCGACUCUGGCGAACAAAGGGCAUCUCUUUGCUCUUGCUCCGACUCCAACGAACAAAGGGCAUCUCCUUGCUCUUUCUCCGACUCCGGCGAACAAAGGGCAUCUCUUUGCUCUUUCUCCGACUCCGACGAACAAAGGGCAUCUCCUUGCUCUUUCUCCGACUCCGUCGGCCAUCUUGUUGUUAUUUCUCCCAUGUACUAUCGAGGCAAUAAUGCACGAAAAUAAAGCUCACGGAAAGUGUGGACCCUAAAUACGAGUCUAGCCGGCCUAUCCCUAGGACCGGCCCUGGGCACAAGGCAAGAUUUGCUGUGAAGGACUGCAUUGUAUAGGUGAUGGAGGAUGGGGUGAGAAUCGAAGAUGUGAACCUGUCUCAAGCUGUAAACAAGCUGGCGAAGGUUGUGCUUUGCUAUCAGAUCCCUGUUGCUACCCAAUGAUGUGCUCAGCUACCUCGCAGGGAGAAUGUUAUACCCCUGGAUUGGCCUUAGCUGAUGUUCAACAAAACACCCCAUCAUCAAAAACUUCAACUUAUUAGAAAACUAUGUAGUAGUCUUGUAUGUUUCUCAUUGUUAUGUUCUAUGCUCUGUGUUUGAGAAUAUUGUAGGUGUGUGUACUGGUGUGGUUUGUUUCAGAAAUAAUCACAAGUGCCCUUGGGACAUUUGUUGUGGCUGGUUUGGUCUAGUUUAACAUCAUUAUGACUUUAGGGUAUUUCUCGUAUGUGUUUGUCUUGUUUUAUUUGUUUAUGUGAGUUCUUGUUUGGAUGUAUAUGUUUCUUAAUUGUCUUCUUGCGUUUAAUUAAUGAAGGGUUUCUUUUCUA